rnacentral:lncRNA from 10 species
GCUGAGCUUGGGAACUGCUUGUCUCCCUCCCCACCACAGACACUUUGUGUGAUAUUCCCAUUUCAUUUUUGUUCCUCAGUAUCUUACCAGAUGUACUUUGAAGCAUCAGCAACUAAAAAUGAUAGAAAUCAUUAAAUCCUGCAAUUCCAGGAGUCAUUUUAUUCUCCAUGGAGCUCCAGCAUUGCUGUCAGAGCAGUUCCUCCUCAUGGCCGAUUGGGGAGUUCAGAGCCUGUGCAUUAAGCUGUCAGGUUGGGAGAGCAUUGAGGAGUCAUCUUCAUGCCAAAUCAUCUUAUUUAGCCAAAUACCAUUGAAACAUUUGAGUUCUUUCCUGGACCUGGACCUGGCCAAAUACCUAAAGCCAUUAACAGAUCUUCUCCCUCAAAGAAGGCAUGUAAAUGUUUUACAUUAUUGUCAAACUGUAAACAAUAAUGAACCAGCUCUUUAGGUAAAAGAAGUUAAACAAUACUACUACUAAUAAUAAUUUGCCUCUAUAAAGGGACUUUUUCCAAACUCUCGAGGAACCAGCUGUAGCUGGGUAGCAUCCUUCCCUCAGGAGUCUGAGAACACAUUCUGAGGGGCCCCUGUUCUGUGCUUCUAGGUUCUGAUAAUUCAACCACUACUUCUUUCCCCAAUCUAGGGAGGUAGAUGCCUCCUACAGUUACUAUUAGUAGUAACCUCAUCAGGGUUUUUUUGGUUUAUUUUUUGUUUGUUUACAAAUGCUUUUUGCUCUUUAAGUUUUCAAAUGUAUUUUAAACUAAUUUUCUAAAUUAACUUCUUUCUGUUGAAAUAAAAAUUUUCCAUUCUAUUCUCCUGACUGGACCCUGACUGAAGCAAUCAAAAUUUAUAAAAAUAUACUAUUAAGUAUAAGACAGAAAUUUGGAAAGAGAAGUUUUAUAAACCCAGAUGAGCAUAUAGAGGAAAUCCAACAUUUCCAGCCAUCCCCAUUCACGAAGGCAUUUAAUUUCAUGAAGAAUAUCCACAGAGGACAUAAUAAAGUUAGUCCUUACCAGUUGAUUUAAAUAUGAAUAAUUUGUUUCUAUUUCUACAAGAGCAAGCUUUGGGCUGGGAGCGGUGGCUCAUGCCUGUAAUCCCAGCCCUUUGGGAGGCGGAUGCAGGUGGAUCACCUGAGGUUAGGAGUUCGAGACCAGCCUGGCCAACAUGGUGACACCCCAUCUCUACUAAAAAUACAAAAAUUAGCCAGGCAUGGUGUCAGGUGCCUGUAAUCCCAGCUACUCGGGAGGCUGAGGCAAGAGAAUCACUUGAACCCAGGAGGUGAAGGUUGCAGCAAGCCAAGAUCCACCACUGCAUUCCAGCCUGGGUGACAGAGCGGGACUCCGUCAAAAAAAAAAAAAAAAAAAAAAAAAAGAAAAGAAAAGCUUUGCUGUUCUCCAAAGUGUUGUGUAUUUAAGUAAAACAACUGUGUGGUGUUGAUGAAUAAUAAAAUUAUCAAUGGAAACUCCUUGAAGCUUAGUGUCUGGAAUUAUGGCACACUAAUGGAAAUGUCUUCCCCAGUGAUCGUGAAAAUACCGUGGUGGUGAUGAAGAGUCCCCUUUUCAUCCAAUUGUGUUGAAGCCUUGUUCUUUUUGCGUUUAGCUUGGGCUAAGACCUUUAUUUGAAAAAUUAUGAACUUAAAAGAACUGCAGUAUGAAGGAAUAUCACUGACUUUUGCAUGGCAGGAAAAAGAUAUAAAUGAGUCAAACUUUCACUAGAGAUUAAAGAAUUCAUGGAAUCAAUGCAUUAUCAAGCAUUUGGUAAUAAGUGGACGGAGCAUGGGUUGUAUUUCAGCUACAUUUUCUCCUUCCUCUCUCCCAUCCUUCUUCUCUUCCUCUCUUCCUCCCUUCCUUCCCUCUUUUUCAUUCUUCCUACCUUUGGCCUUGUGUGAGGCUAGUCCUUGUUGUCCCUCUGAGGUCAUAGCAAUGUUUGCACAGAACUGAAGCUCCCUCCCAGAGCCAUUUCUCUGGUGACUUAACUAUAAUCUCUUGCUGGCAGCACACCGAAGGUUGUGAAAAGACACACGGGUCAAAAGCAGGACAUAGGACACUGCCCCUAGAGGCAUAUUUUAGGCAUAAAUACUGGCAGCAGCACAGCCUGCUAGGAGCCUACCUACAAUAGUGUGGCCCCAAGUUCCUAGGAUGUGAGUGUGAGCAGGGCAGACAACAAGAGAACACAGUGCAAAUUUGCUUGGUAAGAAACCGUAGUGUAACAGAUAACUCACCUUUCAAUUAUAUUAAUUUCACCAGCCUAAUUAGCCAAAUUUUGGCAAGCCAAAGGAGAAUAUAUUAGGACAGAAAAAAAUUAGAUAGGUUUAUUUUCUUUGUUUGCUAUUUUUUGUGUGUUGAAAGAUACCCCUCUUAAAAUACUGACCCAUAAAAAUAAAUCUGGGUCAUUUUCUUAAAUCACUGAGAUUUGAAAGAAACAAUGAUGGGAAGACCCACAGCAAAUCUUUCUUAAAUCUAAUUUACCAAUAAUUUCCCUUACCUAUGCCACUAUUGUAAGGAUGAGAUAUAUCAAAGUAAGAUAAAAUUAUUAUUUCUGUGAAAAUGGGGGCAGAAGUAGAUUGUUUGGGCUAUGUAACCAGUAAGAGAAAAAUCAUGCCUGAUAAAGCAGGUAUGAUACGUCCUCCCCUAAUUUUUUCCAUUUAUUUACAAUGCAUUGCUGAACUAGUUGAGCUAUAUUUCCCUCUUCUUAUUUGAUGGAAAUAUGUGUACACUAACAUAUUUCAGGGUUCUAGUACUGGAGAAAAAAAGUAUUGCAUAAAUCCCCUUUUCCUUGAAAUUCCAAUAAUUGUUUACAUUUUCAAAAUUAUUAUUUCAGAGUUCUUGUUUAUGUUUCAUUAGUCUAUCGUCUUCUCCCUUAAAGAACUACAUUUGAACGAAAAAGCUAUGCAGUUCUUGCUCUUAUCUCCAGAAUUGUCAACGGAUGUUUCUUUCUGCCUCCUAGAAGAAAUAACUAAUAAUUUCCAUGGGUGGUUGUUUGCAAUGCUGUAAUUAAUUUAGCCCUUUGUUGCUGAUGCUUGGGGGAAAUGUUAUUGGUAAAAAAGAGAAAAAGGCACAAUAAUAUCCCAUGAAAAAAGUGAGAUGCCAUAAAGGGCUUAACUUUAUUUUAUUUUGUUUUUAAAAAAAUGCUGUAUCUAUCUUUUCUGAAGGCGAAUCUCCAAAUAAAAGGAAUCUUUAUUCUGUUAAGUUUUAAAUAAUAAACAAAACUCCAACUUGAUUUAAUUUUAUACUCAGUUCCCUUUAGCAAACAAGCAAGCCAGCAGUCAUAUUUUCAUGUGGUUACUUGUUUUCAUAACUUUUCACCAAGAGCUUAAGAUAGGAGUUUGAAAUUAUUCUUAUCUUUGACAUUACCUUAACAAUUCACCCAUGUAAUAAUUUUAAACAUAUAUGUGGGUGUCUUACUCUAUCUUCUUGUCUUAAACUAACACUUAAAUGUUUAACCAUUUCCUUAUUAUAUGUAACUGUAAUAUAUGAGAGAAUACUGUUAAUUUCUAUAAGUUGUUUCAUGCCAUGUUUUUCAAAUAAAUAAAUAAA